AGAGUUUGAUCCUGGCUCAGGAUGAACGCUAGCUACAGGCUUAACACAUGCAAGUCGAGGGGCAGCAUCAUCAAAGCUUGCUUUGAUGGAUGGCGACCGGCGCACGGGUGAGUAACACGUAUCCAACCUGCCGACAACACUGGGAUAGCCUUUCGAAAGAAAGAUUAAUACCGGAUGGCAUAAUUAUUCCGCAUGGGAUAAUUAUUAAAGAAUUUCGGUUGUCGAUGGGGAUGCGUUCCAUUAGGCAGUUGGCGGGGUAACGGCCACCAAAACCUACGAUGGAUAGGGGUUCUGAGAGGAAGGUCCCCACAUUGGAACUGAGACACGGUCCAAACUCCUACGGAGGCA
rnacentral:rRNA from 1 species